UGGGGAAUAUUGGACAAUGGGGGCAACCCUGAUCCAGCCAUGCCGCGUGGGUGAAGAAGGCCUUAGGGUUGUAAAACCCUUUCAGCGGGGAAGAUGAUGACGGUACCCGCAGAAGAAGCCCCGGCUAACUCCGUGCCAGCAGCCGCGGUAAGACGUAGGGACCGAGCGUUGUCCGGAAUUAUUGGGCGUAAAGAGCUCGUAGGCGGUUGCGUAAGUCGGAUGUGAAAGCUCAGGGCUCAACCCUGAGACGCCAUCCGAUACUGCGCUGACUUGAAUCCAGUAGGGGAGUGUGGAAUUCCUGGUGUAGCGGUGAAAUGCGCAGAUAUCAGGAGGAACACCUAUGGCGAAGGCAGCACUCUGGGCUGGUAUUGACGCUGAGGAGCGAAAGCAUGGGUAGCAAACAGGAUUAGAUACCCCUGUAGUCC
rnacentral:rRNA from 1 species